CCUGGGAUGUGAGCUACUGGCAUCUUCCCAUUGUCCUAACUGUGUAAUGAGACUGAUGCUGGAAAAUAAAACAGCUCGAGACGCGUUCCUCAGCAGUCCCGUCCCAUUUGUGAUUUGUACUUAGACCCCUGCCUGGCAAUAAAUGGUGCUCCUCAGUGAGGAGGAUUUUUGGACUAGAAGAAUAAAAAAAGACCAUGGACAGUGCAGUUGUCGGAGGCCCAGGCUGUUAAUAGGAGGAAUGGAUCAUUCCCUUCAUCGUCUGUAGCUGAUAUCCUUGUAAGUAGUAAGUAGCAACUCUAGGGGCUCCUGGGCAACGAUAUGGAAAACCGUCUAUCUAAAACAGAAUGGGACAUCUUUUAUCAGCCUGAGACAAUUUUACAGGAUGAAGGACGUUCCGACAUCUCAAAACAUGAACUGAAAGACUUAUUAAUCUGGGUAAAAGCGAAUACUCAAAAUACAGACUUGAAGUCUGCUUUUACCUUUGAUUUUUGGGACCAGAUAACCUGGGAAAUUUACAGUCUAGUCUCUCUCAAAAAGGAAGAGACUUUGGUCAAACUAAUGCCUAUCUCCAGAACUUUAAUGGAGAGCUUUAAACAGGUAGCAUUAGGUUACAAGGACCACAGGGUGAAAUGCCCAAUCCCAGCUCCAGGACUGGAAAAUAUUUCUUCCUGGUACAGCAAGCGAUGUCACUAUUUUCUUCUCAGCAAAACUGAAACUGUGAGGUGGGUGAUGGAGUCAGCAUUGGCACUGGAGCCUCAGGGGUUCCUUCUGGGAUCCAGGCCCUGAAUCUUCAGCACAUCCAGGGCUGGAUUCCAGGUGAAUCACUGCUUUGGAAUGCCCAGCUAGCUCUGUAGUAUUCCAAAGCAGCCAGGCAGUGCCCCAGGCCAAAGAGGGAUGAUUGUUGGCCUGUCAUUGUGCUCUUGUGAAAAUGCUGCCUUUACAGGCCUUGUGGCAAAGCUCCCAGAAGAGGAUGGAGAAUGGAGAGAGAACCCACAGAGGCAGGGCUAAGUAAGGUCUGAGCUUCAGGGCACUGCCUGGCUGAGCACCCUCACCUGUGCCCUGCUGAGCUUCCUUCCUCAGAGGGCGCCCAAGGUUGCAGAGCAUUCCCUGGCACUGGGAGGAGGCAGGUGCAGGCUGCCUGAGUGGAAACGUCCUCAUCGAUGAAGAGAUGUCAGGAUGAGGUAGGUAGGCCAGCUCACAGGAGGCUCACAAACUGCUGCUGGCUGUACCUCAGCAAUGAGCAACAGAGCCCAGGGAGAGAAAAUCUGCCACUUUGUCUGCAACCUGGCAGCUGCUCCAAGGCACACCCCUGCUGAAAGCCUGGCCAGCUGUACAGUGAGCUUCCCACAGCAGAUACAAAACCUGUAACCCAGCUCUCACUGCUACAGUUGCUGGUGAUCAUGAGGAUUGACCUGUUAGAGAGCCAGAUCCCAUCCCUGCUGCAGUCUUUGCAUCUUUCAAAAAAUGGCUUGGGGCAGAAGGGUCUUGGGCAAGCAGACUUCUGAUGAAGAGAACCCUAGGCUCUUUAGGAAGCAGAUGAACAAACCUUUAUGGCUGGGACAGGGAGGUCCUAGUCGGUUGCUGCCCUAUUCCCUGGGAUUGGAGAGCAAAGCACGGUGGAGUGUGGCCAGCAGUGCCGAUUGUCAGCUGUGUGGCGCCAAGGAAGGAGGUUUCAAUGACUCCUCCUUUGCUAUUGGGAAAGUUUAGUGACAGGGUCAGCCUGGAAUGGCAGAGGACAGGGCUUUCCCUAACAUUGCAGGGGUGAAGAGGAGGAAGAUGGGAUUCUGAUUGCAGCUGGUGACACUGGACUCACAGAUGAGCAUGGUGAGUGGGUCUGGUUGGGAUGGAGUCAACUUUCCUGGUAGCAACCAUUAUAGAGCUGUUCUUUGUACUUACAGUUACAAUGGUGCUGAUAGCACACCAGUGUUUUGGUCAUGCUGAACAGGCCUCACACAGCAUCAAGUAUGUUUAUUCAUAUUCCAUCCGAUGGCCAGUAGGUUGGAGGUGGGCAAGAGUUUGGGAGGACACAUAGCCAGGACAAAACAAAGGGGAUAUUUCAUAAUCAAAGGGGAUAUUUUAUACCAUGUGAUGUUGUACUUGGCAAAAAAAUAGAAGUUAAGGAUCAUGGGAGGGAUUAGUUAUUAAGGCAUUUGUCUUCCAAAAUAAUCACUACACAUACUGAGGCCCUGCUUCCCAGGACACCACCUGAAGAUGAAAAUGAGAGAAUAAAUAUUUUUGCUUUGCUUUGCUUCCACACACAGUCUUUGGUCUUCUUCACUGAACUGCCUUUAUCUCGACCCAUGAGUUUUUUCAUCUUAUUUUCUCUCCUGUCCUGUUGAGCAACAGAACUGCUUGUGGCCACUUGGCAUCCAGCCAAGGUCAACCCACCACAAUCCUUUUUGGCACCCAGCAUGUGGGUUGAGCCAAUGGGAGUACUGAAUUGAGCAUGCUAUAGCAAUAGCUGUUAUUAAUUGGAAGGUUUCUGUGUCUUUGAAGCUGGCUGGCUGCACUGAAUACCUCUUCAUUCUGUUGAGCUUUGGAACAUGUUAAUACAAACGUUGUGCACUUAACUAUGCUGGGAAAGUUAUCUUGCAGACAGAAUGAGAGAAUAUACGUCCACUGAGAUUGAUGUUGGUGGUUUUACUGCAUAGACUUCCACACUUUUUGUUCACCCUUAUGUGAGGUGUUUAAUACUACUAACCCGAUACAGUUGGGUUUGUGGCAAAACCACUCUAUUCUGGACAGUCCUAGAGGCCUCAUGUAUCCUUGGCACAGACUAUGAGGGCAGUGAACUUCAAGGGCUAAAAGGGCAUCAAUGAGCUCUCAGUGUAGUCAUCAUGAAUAUGGACAUGGUUAAACAGCUGACUAACUUGUCUGGCCUCUCAGAACAUUUCUCUGUUGUGGCCUUACUGUAGGUGGAUGAAUGGCAUGAUUGCUACCAUGACAGUGCACCAGCAGUGAUACUGCAGCAACUGAGAUUCCCUGGCUCCCACUGGCAGGCUGAUUCACCCAUUGGAGAGCCAAAGAAUGAUCAAUUUCUUUUAAAUUUCUCAUAUGGCCCAUGCAGAAGUCUGGUGGAGGGUGGAAAUUAACAGGGACAAUUGUGUCCUGAAUGACGAUGUCACACUGCUGCUGAGUGCUGCUGUACUCAGUAUCCUGGAGUUGCUAUGCCAGCUGGAGUCAAGGACAGAGAAGUGGUGUGCUACAACAGAUAUUAUCAAUGUUUUUUUCUCAAUUCCUUUGGCAGCAGAAGCAUGUGACAGGGUGUCAGUACACCUAGAAGGAACUGCACCAGGCUGGAAGCACAGUCCUACCAUUUGUCGUGGACUGAUGAGAGCUGCACAGUCACCAGAAUGAUCCCCUGAACACUUACCAUAUGUCAACCACAUCAACAGGGGAUUUUGCAGCGAUAUCCCAUUACUUACAUGAACCUGGAGCCUCAAACGGCCCUGCUGGACUCUGCCUCACGAGGGAGCUGUGUUCCCAGGAAAAGAGAGUGCACUCUCUUUGAGAGAAGGCUCAUGACUACACAGGCAGAAGAAGAGUGUCACAGAACUCAUGGAACUACCCUGCCUGCUCUUAGCAAAGCAACCCGUCCAACAGAAUUCCACUCUAAGGCGUAGC